rnacentral:rRNA from 1 species
UACGUAGGGAGCGAGCGUUGUCCGGAAUUACUGGGUGUAAAGGGAGCGUAGGCGGGCGAGAAAGUUGAAUGUUAAAUCUACCGGCUUAACUGGUAGCUGCGUUCAAAACUUCUUGUCUUGAGUGAAGUAGAGGCAGGCGGAAUUCCUAGUGUAGCGGUGAAAUGCGUAGAUAUUAGGAGGAACACCAGUGGCGAAGGCGGUCUGCUGGGCUUUAACUGACGCUGAGGCUCGAAAGCGUGGGGAGCAAACAGG